rnacentral:rRNA from 1 species
CAGUCGCCACGGUAAUACGAAGGGUGCAAGCGUUAAUCGGAAUUACUGGGCGUAAAGCGUGCGUAGGCGGUGAGUUAAGUCUGCUGUGAAAUCCCCGGGCUCAACCUGGGAAUGGCAGUGGAUACUGGCUCGCUAGAGUGUGGUAGAGGAUAGUGGAAUUUCCGGUGUAGCAGUGAAAUGCGUAGAGAUCGGAAGGAACAUCUGUGGCGAAGGCGACUAUCUGGGACAACACUGACGCUCAUGCACGAAAGCGUGGGGAGCAAACAGGAUUAGAUACCCCCGUAGUCCCUGUCUCUUAUAC